UGGGGAAUAUUGGACAAUGGGCGAAAGCCUGAUCCAGCCAUGCCGCGUGUGUGAAGAAGGUCUUCGGAUUGUAAAGCACUUUAAGUUGGGAGGAAGGGCAGUAAAUUAAUACUUUGCUGUUUUGACGUUACCGACAGAAUAAGCACCGGCUAACUCUGUGCCAGCAGCCGCGGUAAUACAGAGGGUGCAAGCGUUAAUCGGAAUUACUGGGCGUAAAGCGCGCGUAGGUGGUUUGUUAAGUUGGAUGUGAAAUCCCCGGGCUCAACCUGGGAACUGCAUCCAAAACUGGCAAGCUAGAGUAUGGUAGAGGGUGGUGGAAUUUCCUGUGUAGCGGUGAAAUGCGUAGAUAUAGGAAGGAACACCAGUGGCGAAGGCGACCACCUGGACUGAUACUGACACUGAGGUACGAAAGCGUGGGGAGCAAACAGGAUUAGAUACCCCCGUAGUCCCUGAGCGGGCUGGCAAGGCGCAU
rnacentral:rRNA from 1 species